AUGCAAGUCGAGCGAGAAAGUGGUAGCAAUACCGCGAGUAAAGCGGUGAACUGGUGAGUAACAGGUGGGUAAUGUGCCCUGAAGUGGGGGAUAACAGGCGGAAACGCUUGCUAAUACCGCAUGUGGGUCCAAGGACUCCGGUCCGAGGAUUUAAAGCAGUAGUGCGCUUCAGGAUCAGCCCGCCCCCGAUUAGCUAGUUGGCGAGGUAAUGGCUCACCAAGGCUACGAUCGGUAGCUGGCCUGAGAGGGUGGUCAGCCACACUGGGACUGAGAUACGGCCCAGACUCCUACGGGGGGCAGCAGUCUAGAGGCUUCGGCAAUGGGGGGAACCCUGACCGAGCGAUGCCGCGUGCGGGAUUGAAGGCCUUCGGGUCGUAAACCGCUGUCAGGUGGGAAGAAUGUCCAUAUGGCGAAUAUGGAAGGGACGGUACCACCAGAGGAAGCCCCGGCUAACUCCGUGCCAGCAGCCGCGGUAAUACGGAGGGGGCAAGCGUUAUUCGGAUUUACUGGGCGUAAAGGGUGCGUAGGUGGCCGUGCAAGUCUGACGUGAAAUCUUCACCGCUCAACGGGAAGAGGUCGUUGGAAACUGCAUGGCUCGAGUGUGGUAGAGGCAAGCGGAAUUCCAGGUGUAGCGGUGGAAUGUGUAGAUAUCUGGAAGAACACCCGUGGCGAAGGCGGCUUGCUGGGCCAUCACUGACGCUGAGGCACGAAAGCGUGGGGAGCAAACGGGAUUAGAUACCCCGGUAGUCCACGCCGUAAACGGUGCACACUAGGUGUGGGAGGAGAUCGACCCCUCCUGUGCCGCAGUUAACACAUUAAGUGUGCCGCCUGGGGAGUACGGCCGCAAGGUUGAAACUCAAAGGAAUUGACGGGGGCCCGCACAAGCGGUGGAGGAUGUUGUUUAAUUCGACGCAACGCGAAGAACCUUACCUGGGCUUGAACUGCUAGUUAAACUCCUGGAAACAGGGGCUGCCGCAAGGCGAACUAGUAGAGGUGCUGCAUGGCUGUCGUCAGCUCGUGUCGUGAGAUGUUGGGUUAAGUCCCGCAACGAGCGCAACCCUUGUCGUUAGUUACCAGCGAGUCAUGUCGGGGACUCUAACGAGACUGCCGGUGAUAAUCCGGAGGAAGGUGGGGAUGACGUCAAGUCAUCAUGGCCCUUACGUCCAGGGCUACAAACGUCCUACAAUGGCCGGGACAACGGGUUGCGAGACCGCGAGGUUGAGCUAAUCCCUAAAACCCGGUCCCAGUUCAGAUUGGAGGCUGCAAUUCGCCUCCAUGAAGUUGGAAUCUCCAGUAAUCGCAGAUCACAUGCUGCGGUGAAUACGUUCCCGGGCCUUGUACACACCAC
rnacentral:rRNA from 1 species